AUUAGUCAAUAAUACUAAUUAGCUCUUCAAUACCAGUCUGUCCAAUGUGUCCUAUCCCUUCUCCACUAAAGACUGACACAGCUGAUUGUCAUAGCUUCCUCAUUUAUGAUCUCUUCUACAAUGAUACAUAUGCAUUCUUGCUGGCAAUUAUCAAGUAGCCUUUCAUACUCAUUAAUUUCUAUCACAUUCAGUUAAAAGCUCAUAUCCAGACAAACAUGUACACUGAUAACUACCAAUAGUAUAAAUGAUGCCAUCAGACACACUUACAGUGGUGACUAAAAAGAGAGAGGAGAUGAAGAACAGGUUUUAUAUUAGGAUACUUAAUACCAUUGAUGCUAUACCAUCAGAAUUAUCAGUAACUAAUGUUAACAAGCCGGUAAUCAUUACAUUUGAGAGACUUCCCACUUCAACCAUCAAACUUGAUGCAGUAAAUA